rnacentral:rRNA from 1 species
UACGUAGGGGGCAAGCGUUGUCCGGAUUUAUUGGGCGUAAAGAGCGUGUAGGCGGCUUUGCAAGUCGGGUGUGAAAUCCCCAGGCUUAACCUGGGAACUGCAUUCGAGACUGCAUUGCUAGAGUAUGGGAGAGGGAAGUGGAAUUUCCGGUGUAGCGGUGAAAUGCGUAGAUAUCGGAAGGAACAUCAGUGGCGAAAGCGACUUCCUGGACCAAUACUGACGCUCAUGUGCGAAAGCGUGGGGAGCAAACAGG